GCUGCUUCAGUGAGGGCCUCCUGGUUCCAAUCCAGCAGAGGACUAGGAAGCCUUCUUGAACUGAGCAAGGAGGGAAGGGUAGAAACUGAGUGCAGAGCAUGCAACUGCUUGGCUGGAGUACCUUCAUUGCAGACCCUGGAACCCUAUGCCUUGGUUUCCCUUUUGAUAAUUAGUAUGCUGAGAGCAUAUUAAGGUAUUUCAAGCUCAAAUAAUGUAUGAUAAAUUUGUUGGUUGCAUUGUUUUCUUUGCUAUGGCAUGGUCAUGACACUUCCAACUCAAAUCUUUUUCUUUUUUUGGUACCCAGGAUCAAACUUGGGACCUUGUGCUUUUGAGGCAGGGGGCACCACUGAAUUAAAUCCCCGGACGUCAAGUCAUAUUUAAAGGAAAUAACUUAGGCUUCCAAGUGCAAAGCUGGAUGACCCAGGGGCAAAUGGAAAGCUGCUGGAGUCAGGUGAAGUGGUGCAGGAGAAGACCUCUGUGCAAACCUUCACAACCACCAUUCCUCUCGGAGGCCAUGACCCACCUUACAGCAGCCAGUGAGUCACCAGGCCUGUUUAUUGGCACCACCUGCCCAUGUGGACUUUGAUGGCCCUGAGGGAGCUCAGAGAAACAAUCCAGCUUUAUAAUGUCCCAUCAAAAAUGAGCAAAUAAAGAGCUUGCCUCCCUGCCAGG
rnacentral:lncRNA from 1 species